UCUGGGUAGCCUUUCACCAGCCAUGGCCA
rnacentral:piRNA from 1 species